rnacentral:rRNA from 1 species
CACGUAGGGGGCGAGCGUUGUCCGGAUUUAUUGGGCGUAAAGAGCUCGUAGGCGGCUUUGUCAGUCGGGUGUGAAACCUCCAGGCUCAACCUGGAGCCGCCACCCGAUACUGCAAUAGCUAGAGUCCGGUAGGGGAGCAUGGAACUCCUGGUGUAGCGGUGAAAUGCGCAGAUAUCAGGAGGAACACCGGUGGCGAAGGCGGGUCUCUGGGCAGUAACUGACGCUGAGGAGCGAAAGCGUGGGGAGCGAACAGG